rnacentral:rRNA from 1 species
CCUACGGGUGGCAGCAGUGGGGAAUAUUGCGCAAUGGGCGAAAGCCUGACGCAGCGACGCCGCGUGAGGGAUGAAGGUCUUCGGAUCGUAAACCUCUGUCAGCAGGGAAGAACGGUCACUGUGCUAAUCAGCAGUGAAUUGACGGUACCUGCAAAGGAAGCACCGGCUAACUCCGUGCCAGCAGCCGCGGUAAUACGGAGGGUGCGAGCGUUAAUCGGAAUUACUGGGCGUAAAGCGCUCGUAGGCGGUAUGUCAAGUCAAGGGUGAAAUCGCCGCGCUCAACGUGGGAACUGCCUUUAAAACGGGCAAACGGGAGUAUGGGAGAGGAGGGAGGAAUUCGAGGGGGA